AUCCAAAAAGGGGUGAAAGAUGAGCAUGGAUGGAGCUUUUAGAGAAAUCUUCUGUUGCUAAGAUUUUGUGGAAACACAGCAAAUUGAGUUAGCUUUCUAAUGGAAGUGGUUUCAAGUCAUUUGAAGAUGUAAUGAAGGAGUUAUGACCAAUUUACUAGAGGCAUAUCCACCCUGUUCGAGCAUCCUGGAGCGAUCUCUCAGAGCGACCUACCGAGGUCGCUCCCAGCCAGAGCGACCAGUCCAGAGCGACUACCUCAAGUCAAUCCCAGCCAGAGCGACCAGCUCAAGUCACUCGCGUUUUGACGCAGCGAGACACGAAAAAAUGCGUCGGGAGCGACCUUCUGGAGCGACUAUGCUAGGUCACUCCGCGUGUUUUGCUUGGACGAUUUUUAUGUUAUUUCAGGGGCCUUUUGGUCAUUUGUUUUGAUGUUUUACACUUUCUAAACCUAAGUUAAGUACUUUUGUAAGCCAUUGGGGGCAAGAUAAUCUCUUUUCUAGAGGAGAACUAGUAAAAAACUUCUUUUGAUUCAGAUUUCAUUGCUUUCAUCUUGUGUUCUUGUUGAUUUCUUAUCUAUUUCUCUACAUGAUUAAUUUGAAAUCUCUAGGCUUAAGGUCGAUAGUUUGAUUGAUCAUUUGCCAUCCUUAAUUCAAUACUUGAUCACCCAAGGUCUAAUCCCUAUGCCCAUGAGUUCUCUUUUCCCUUAGUCAAGAAAGUAUCAUUCUGUUAUUGCUUUCUAGUAUAGUAGUAGUUUAAAACCCAUUUAAAUCAUUGGUUACACUUAGAUUAAGUGAGUACUUGCAUUGUCGGUGCUUUGAUAUCCCUCAGAACUGGUUCGACAAUCUUUUAUACUAUAUCAUUUGUCUUAGGAGUCUUGAAAACUCCUAACAUCAAAUUGGCGCCGUUGCCAAAUUCUGAGUAGAUUUAAACAUUGAGAUUUAGUCACUUGCUUGAGACUAAGUCAUUUUUAUUUUCUUUUGUUACUGAUUCUCUUUCUUCACCUCCCUUUAAUCUACAGGUGUAUGAACUUGAGGAGCAGGGGUCCAUCAAACCUAGUUCCAAUAGCUGCAGACAUCAGAGCUUUAGAGAGAGAGUGUGCUAGAAAUAGAAGAGAAGAAGAGCAACAGGCUCACUUGCAGAGAUUGAGUACUGAUAUGGGAGACAUACCUCAAAACCAACAGCGAGCAGCUCGACCCAUUGGCACUUACGACCGCCCCAACAUUCAUGGUCAUAGAUUGGGAAUCCGAGCACCCGCUGUGGCAGCCAACAACUUUGAGAUCAAAUCAGGACUCCUCAACGUGAUCGAGAACAACAAGUAUCAUGGCUUGGCUCUAGAGGAUCCAUUUGAUCACUUGGACAGGUUCGACAGCUACUGUGGGUUGUCAAAAACCAAUGGUGUGUCCGAAGAUGCCUUAAAGCUCAAGCUAUUCCCUUUCUCUUUGGGGGAUAAGGCACGUCAGUGGGAGAAGUCUCUACCCAGUGACUCCAUCACUACUUGGGAUGACUGCAAGAAAGCAUUCUUGGAGAAGUUCUUCUCUACUUCAAGAACUGCUAAGCUGAGAAACGAGAUUUCCAGCUUUCAACAGAAGAACUUGGAAGGCUUCAGUGAAGCCUGGGAGAGAUUCAAGGGCUACCAAGCUCAAUGCCCACACCAUGGCUUUUCUAAGGAGAGCUUGCUGAGCACAUUCUACCGUGGUGCUCUUCCUAAGUACAGAGCCAGACUGGAUACAGCUAGCAAUGGGUUCUUCUUGGGGAGAACUGAGGAGGAUGCAGAAGAGCUGGUUGACAACAUGGUAAAGAGUGAUGCAGUCUACAGUGGAGACCACGACAGAAGCAGUAGAACUGAGGAUAAGCAAACGAGGAAGGAGUUGAAAGCUCUACAGGAUAAGAUAGACAUCCUCCUUGCUGAUAAAGCUACCCAAGAGCAGCUGCACUUUGUCGGCAACCCAAGCCAAGAGACACCAGCUAUUGUCCAUGAAGUUGAGGGUUUGGAAGGUCAGGAAGAGCUGUGUUUCAUCAACAACAAUGGUAGCUGGUACAAGAAAGAACCCAACUUUCAGUACAACAACUACCAACAGAAGUCCUAUUCCAACAACCAGCAGAGUGGCUAUCCGCCAAGAAACAACCAGCAAGGCAGCUAUCAGCCUCAGCAAAACCCCUCGUCUGGUUCCUCUGCUCCUCAAGAGAGCAGCACUGAUACCUUACUGAAACAAAUCUUGGAGUCUCAGACUAGAAGUGAGAAGCAUGUUGGUUAUGAGUUGAAGAACCUUCAUUCCAAGAUUGAUGGGAGCUACAAUGAGCUCAACAACAAGUUCUCACACCUUGCUUCUACAGUCAAGAAUUUAGAGAAUCAGUUUGCUUCCAUGAACACUCACCAGAAUCGCCAGCAAGGAUCUCUACCUGGAAAAUCUGACCAAAAUCCCAAGGAGGCCAAAGCUAUCACCUUUACGAGUGGUAAACAGUUACCUCCUAGAACCCUCACCAAGGAUGCUUAGAAACUAGGUGAAGAGGUGGCCAUCAACUUAGAUGAUGAUGUGGUAAUUGUUGAUGAGAAGACCAAUGAUGAGAUUUUGGAGAAGGUUAUGGAAGCUAAAGGUAAAGAAAGGUUGGAGAGAGAAGAAAAUAAUACAAGAUGGUGAAGUUGCUGUUCCAACAAGUGAGAAUGUUUUUGUUCCUCCUCCCUAUGAACCCAAGCUUCCAUUCUCAGGUAGAUUCAAGAGGCAUCUGCUAGAAAAAUAUAAGGCUCUGUUUGAGAAGCAAAUGAGUGAAGCUCAGGUUGCAAUGCCCAUCAUUGAUGCUUUCAUGUUGAUUCCUCAAUACAGUAAGUUCCUGAAAGAUAUUGUAGCUGCAAAGAAGAAGGAGAUGGAAGGCAUGAUGAUUCUUACCCAUGAGUGCAGUGCCAUCAUCCAGAGGCUUGAUGUUCCAGAGAAGUUAGAGGAUCCAGGAUGCUUCACACUACCUUGUGCUCUUGGACCUAUGGUAUUUGAGAAAUGUCUCUGCGAUUUGGGAGCUAGUGUCAGCUUGAUGCCUUUGUCUGUUGCAAAGAAGCUUGGAUUCACUCAGUACAAGAAGUGUAGACUCUCUCUGGUGUUAGCUGAUCGUUCAGUGAAGUACCCUGUGGGCAUCUUAGAGGACCUCCCUGUGAAGAUUGGAAGGUAUGAGAUACCUACAGAUUUUGUGGUGCUUGAGAUGGGUGAGGAGGCUCAAGACCCAUUGAUUCUAGGAAGGCCAUUCUUAGCUACAGCAGGAGCUAUUGUUAAUGUGAAGGAAGGCACGAUUGAUCUCCAUUUGGGUAAAGAGAACAUCCUCCACUUUGACAUCAAGAGGAAAAUGAGGAAACCAACUGUGUUCGGGCAAGCCUUCUACAUUGAAGAGAUGGACACUCCUGCUGAUGAGCACCUUGAAGAGUUACCACCUGAGGACGACGAGGAGGGAGCAUCUCCCUCUACUCAUUCCCCAUAGAAGGUAACCCACCACACUCCCUUGUAUAUACCAUUUCAUUUUUGCAUAUUAGUCUUCUUUUCGGUAUCUCUCUCUACUUGACAACACAGAGACUGUGUAACUCAAGUUUGGGGGAGGUACCAAGUAUUUGAUCAUGUUUGCUUUGAUGUUGUUUCAUUGAGUCAUGCAUUGCAUACCUAUUUGCAUAAAAAAAAAAAAAAUAAAUCAUUUAGUUUGCAUCAUUUGCAUUUCUAGGAGAGUCUAGAGCAUAUAGGUUGCAUUCACUUGCAUUGGGAGCAAUGAUUUUAAAUGCCUUGUAAAGAACACUACGUUGCACCUGAGUAGCUUUUGCACCUCUCAAAAAGACUUGUAUGUUUCGAGCCUUGAAAACUCUUCCUGAAACUUGUUGAUUGCUGAAACUCAGUCUUUGAAGCCAACUACAACCUUAUUUGAACUGAACGAACUUAAUGCUUCUUGCUCAUGGUCCCUUGUGUACUGAGUCAUGGCUAUACACACUUGAGUUGUCACAUCUUUUAUGCCAAUCUUAUUUUGACAAACUCUAGUGGUAGACCACUCCCAAAACCUUUCCCUCCUUUUAAGCUUUCAUUGUUUGAUGAGUGAGGCCUUCUUCGGAAAGUCUUACAUGUGCAUAAUGUUGAGAGUAUCGGGAACGACAAUGCUUGAUCUUCAUUCUUGCUAGAUUGGGCACUCUAUUGUCUAGCUAUAGGUGGGGGGUGAGAGUUGUGAUUAUGAUUUGGGAGCAAUGAAAAAGGAAAAGAAAUGACUCUUUGUGUUUAAGUGAAUUGUCUUAUUGGGAUAAGUAGAAAAACCUCUAGCUCAAGUUAUGAAAAGUCUUGGCCCCCAUCUAAAAAAAAAAAAAAAAAAAAAAUAAUAAAAUAUAAAAAGAAAAGAAGAAGAAAGAAAAAGGGGGCUAGCAAAGUUGUUAGGAGCUAAGUAAUGUUUUGAGGUUGUGAAAAAUCCCUUGUAGAUUUCAAAGAGAAGGAGUUAAUGUUCUUAGGAUCUUUUGGUGAGAGAUGUGAGUUGGGUUUGACAUUUGGGAAUGAUUGUGUAAUUGUAUGUUUGGGAAAAGGGUAGAACAAUGGAGAUUGAGCAUUGUAUGCAUGAGUUGAUCCUUUUCUUAGAUAUAUUAUGUCCAAUGUUAAGUCUACUUGUUUCGAGAGUAAACCACCUUAAAGAUCAUAUGUUUUGAACCUCUUGAAUCACUUGAAUAAAAGCCUUCACUUACUCCAACCAAAUGACUUGGACCAACUGACCAUUUGCAAGAAUUCACCUGAUGUUUUGUGCUUAAUGAAUGUGAGAGUUGGUUGAUUUGAAUGUGUGGAUGCUUGAUGAUGAGUGUAAGAACAAAAAGAGUUAAGAUAGGCCUAGAGAAGCUAGAGUGUAAUAAGAGAGUGUGCUAAUUGUGUUUGCUAGUUGUGUUUCUUUUGGUUAUGAGCUCCCACCUUCAAACUUCUCUUCCUAUGAGUUUUAGAAAGUUCACUUGUGGACAAGUAAAAGAACAAGUUUGGGGGAGUUGAUAUCUUGCAUAUUUGCAUUGUUUUAUCCAUUCAUCCAUGAGCAUUUUCAUCAUAUAGAUUAUGAUUUAGCCAUGUCUAGGUUGCAUUUUGCAUUCAUUGUCCUUAUUAGGUGCUGGAGUGUGCCAUGGAGUGAUUUGAGAUGUUUGGGAGCAUUGUGAUCCAAAAUGGGGUGAAAGAUGAGCAUGGAUGGAGCCUUUAGAGAAAUCUUCUGUUGUUAAGAUUUUGUGGAGACACAGAAAAUUGAGUUAGCUAUCUAAUGGAAAUGGUUUCAAGUCAUUUGAAGAUGUAAUGAAGGCGUUAUGACCAAUUUACUAGAGGCAUAUCCACCCUGUUCGAGCAUCCUGGAGCGAUCUCUCUGAGCGACCUACCGAGGUCGCUCCCAGCCAGAGCGACCAGUCCAGAGCGACUACCUCAAGUCACUCCCAGCCAGAGCGACCAGCCAGAGCGACCAGCUCAAGUCACUCGCG
rnacentral:lncRNA from 1 species